rnacentral:RNase_P_RNA from 12 species
UUCGGUGAAGAGGAAUUCGGUGAAGAGAGAAAAGAAACAAAAGGAGCAAGGAGAAACGAAAAAAUGGACGAUCGUGUCGAUGAUCGACUUUCUGUUGUCUUGGAUCCGUUUCUUUUCACUUUUAUUUCUCUAUUUAUUUCUCUUUUUAUUUCUCUCUUCUUUUUUUUAUUCCG